ncrna:unclassified sequences DTF3800-VII RNA
AAUGAGUGAGUAGUUUGCCGAGAUACUAAAGGGUAUGCUUAAUGUAUACCAGCAGGCUUGCCUUGUGGAAUUCUUUAGUCGGAGGAAAACUCAUUUUUUU